rnacentral:rRNA from 1 species
GUAGGUGGCAGGCGUUGUCCGGAAUUAUUGGGCGUAAAGCGCGCGCAGGUGGUUCUUUAAGUCUGAUGUGAAAGCCCCCGGCUCAACCGGGGAGGGUCAUUGGAAACUGGGGAACUUGAGUGCGGGAGAGGAAAGUGGAAUUCCACGUGUAGCGGUGAAAUGCGUAGAUAUGUGGAGGAACACCAGUGGCGAAGGCGACUUUCUGGCCUGUAACUGACACUGAGGCGCGAAAGCGUGGGGAGCAAACAGGGAUUAGAUACCCUGGUAGUCCACGCCGUAAACGAUGAGUGCUAAGUGUUGGGGGGGUUUCCCGCCCCUCAGUGCUGCAGCUAACGCAUUAAGCACUCCGCCUGGGGAGUACGGUCGCAAGACUG